AUGGCGCCGGCGCUCAUGAGGCUGGCGCUGGCGCUGGCGGUGGCGGUGGUCGGGUGCUGCGCCGCCCGGCAGCCCGGCGGCCGCGUCGACCUGUGGCCAAUGCCCGCGUCCGUGAGCCGCGGCGCCAGGACGCUCUACGUCGCCAGGGACCUCAAGCUGUCGACGGCCGGGAGCGGGUACAAGGACGGGAAGGCCAUCCUGGCGGACGCCUUCAGGAGGAUGGUGGCCGUCAUCCAGCUCGACCACGCCAUCAAUGGCAGCUACCACGGCCUGCCCGUGCUCGCCGGCGUCAAUGUGGCCGUCCGUUCCCCGGACGACGAGCUCAAGUUCGGGGUGGAUGAAUCGUACAAGCUGACCGUGCCUGCAACCGGGAGUCCGCUAUAUGCCCGAAUUGAGGCCCAAACAGUUUUCGGAGCGUUUCAUGCUUUAGAGACAUUCAGUCAAUUGUGUUACUUCGAUUUUGUUUUGAGUGUAACUGGACUACAUUGGGCUCCUUGGACUAUCGUGGAUAAGCCAAGAUUUCCUUAUCGAGGGCUGCUUAUUGAUACCGCAAGGCAUUAUCUUCCUGUCCCGGUAAUCAAAAGUGUAAUCGAUUCAAUGGUCUACAGUAAGUUGAAUGUUCUUCAUUGGCACAUCGUGGAUGAGCAGCCAUUUCCUCUUGAAAUACCUUCAUACCCAAAAUUAUCAAAUGGUGCAUACUCUUAUUCAGAAAAAUAUACAAUCAAUGAUGCGAUCGACAUUGUACAAUAUGCUGAAAAAAGAGGUGUGAAUGUCUUGGCUGAGAUUGAUGUCCCUGGCCAUGCUGGUUCAUGGGGUGUUGGAUAUCCAUCGUUGUGGCCAUCAGCUACCUGCCAACAACCACUUGAUGUCAGCAACGACUUUACAUUUAAAGUGAUCGACGGAAUUCUUUCAGAUUUUAGCAAGGUUUUUAAGUUCAAGUUUGUCCAUUUGGGAGGUGAUGAAGUCGAUACAAGUUGCUGGACUACCACACCACGCAUUAAAUCAUGGUUGGUUCAACAUGGUAUGAAUGAGUCUGAUGCCUACAGAUAUUUUGUCCUAAAGGCUCAAAAGAUUGCAAUUUCACAUGGCUACGAGAUUAUUAACUGGGAAGAAACGUUUAACAACUUUGGAGACAAGUUGGACCGCAAAACGGUGGUGCAUAACUGGCUUGGAGGUGGAGUUGCAGAGAAAGUGGUUUCUGCUGGUCUGAGAUGCAUUGUCAGCAACCAGGAUAAGUGGUACCUAGAUCACCUGGAUGCUACAUGGGAAGGAUUCUAUAUGAAUGAACCAUUGACAAAUAUCUACAACCCAGAGCAACAGAAGUUGAUUCUUGGCGGAGAAGUAUGCAUGUGGGGAGAACACAUAGAUGCAUCUGACAUUCAACAAACCAUUUGGCCUCGUGCUGCAGCAGCUGCAGAGCGGCUAUGGACUCCCGUUGAGAAGCUCGCGAAGGACACAACGGCGGUCACUGCAAGAUUGGCACACUUCAGGUGCUUGCUGAAUGAGAGAGGGGUCGCUGCAGCGCCGCUGGCUGGAUAUGGCCGCACAGCUCCGUCGGAACCAGGAUCCUGUGUAAGGCAGUAG
rnacentral:rRNA from 1 species